AUAAUAAGAAGAAAUAAUUACAUCCUAUUACUAAUAGGAUGAGAAGGAGUAGGAAUCUGCUCUUACUUACUA
rnacentral:tRNA from 1 species